rnacentral:rRNA from 1 species
AUGAACGCUGGCGGCGUGCUUAACACAUGCAAGUCGAGCGAAGCGGCUGAAUUGAUUCUUCGGAUGAUUUUCAGUUGACUGAGCGGCGGACGGGUGAGUAACGCGUGGGUGACCUGCCCCAUACCGGGGGAUAACAGCUGGAAACGGCUGCUAAUACCGCAUAAGCGCACAGAGCUGCAUGGCUCGGUGUGAAAAACUCCGGUGGUAUGGGAUGGGCCCGCGUCUGAUUAGGCAGUUGGCGGGGUAACGGCCCACCAAACCGACGAUCAGUAGCCGGCCUGAGAGGGCGACCGGCCACAUUGGGACUGAGACACGGCCCAAACUCCUACGGGAGGCAGCAGUGGGGAAUAUUGCACAAUGGGGGAAACCCUGAUGCAGCGACGCCGCGUGAGCGAAGAAGUAUUUCGGUAUGUAAAGCUCUAUCAGCAGGGAAGAUAAUGACGGUACCUGACUAAGAAGCCCCGGCUAACUACGUGCCAGCAGCCGCGGUAAUACGUAGGGGGCAAGCGUUAUCCGGAUUUACUGGGUGUAAAGGGAGCGUAGACGGCAAGGCAAGUCUGAUGUGAAAACCCAGGGCUUAACCCUGGGACUGCAUUGGAAACUGUCUGGCUCGAGUGCCGGAGAGGUAAGCGGAAUUCCUAGUGUAGCGGUGAAAUGCGUAGAUAUUAGGAGGAACACCAGUGGCGAAGGCGGCUUUCUGGACUGUAACUGACGUUGAGGCACGAAAGUGUGGGGAGCAAACAGGAUUAGAUACCCUGGUAGUCCACACGGUAAACGAUGAAUACUCGCUGUUUGCGAUAUACGGCAAGCGGCCAAGCGAAAGCGUUAAGUAUUCCACCUGGGGAGUACGUUCGCAAGAAUGAAACUCAAAGGAAUUGACGGGGACCCGCACAAGCGGUGGAGCAUGUGGUUUAAUUCGAAGCAACGCGAAGAACCUUACCAGGUCUUGACAUCCCGAUGACCGGUUCGUAAUGGAACCUUCUCUUCGGAGCAUUGGAGACAGGUGGUGCAUGGUUGUCGUCAGCUCGUGUCGUGAGAUGUUGGGUUAAGUCCCGCAACGAGCGCAACCCUUGUCCUCAGUAGCCAGCAGGUAAAGCUGGGCACUCUGUGGAGACUGCCAGGGAUAACCUGGAGGAAGGUGGGGAUGACGUCAAAUCAUCAUGCCCCUUAUGAUCUGGGCUACACACGUGCUACAAUGGCGUAAACAAAGGGAGGCAAAGCCGCGAGGUGGAGCAAAUCCCAAAAAUAACGUCUCAGUUCGGACUGCAGUCUGCAACUCGACUGCACGAAGCUGGAAUCGCUAGUAAUCGCGAAUCAGAAUGUCGCGGUGAAUACGUUCCCGGGUCUUGUACACACCGCCCGUCACACCAUGGGAGUUGGUAACGCCCGAAGUCAGUGACCCAACCGUUUACGGAGGGAGCUGCCGAAGGCGGGACUGAUAACUGGGGUG